rnacentral:rRNA from 1 species
CACGUAGUUAGCCGGUGCUUCUUAUCUAGGUACCGUCACAAAAAGCUUCGUCCCUAGCGAAAGGAGUUUACAACCCGAAGGCCGUCGUCCCCCACGCGGCGUCGCUGCAUCAGGCUUGCGCCCAUUGUGCAAUAUUCCCCACUGCUGCCUCCCGUAGGAGUCUGGGCCGUAUCUCAGUCCCAAUGUGGCCGUCCACCCUCUCAGGCCGGCUACCCGUCGCCGCCUUGGUAGGCCAUUACCCCACCAACAAGCUGAUAGGCCGCGAGCUCAUCCUACACCGAAAAAACUUUCCAACCAUCACACUAAAAAUGGCUCCUAUCCGGUAUUAGACCCAGUUUCCCAGGCUUAUCCCGAAGUGCAGGGCAGAUCACCCACGUGUUACUCACCCGUUCGCCACUCGAGUACCCUGCAAGCAGGGCCUUUCCGUUCGACUUGCAUGUGUUAAGCACGCCGCCAGCGUUCGUCCUCGUAGCCGAGGAGUCAAAACUCU